UCCGUAGGUGAACCUGCGGAAGGAUCAUUAAAGAGACGUUGCCUUCGGGUAGUACCUCCCACCCAUUGUUUAUUAUACCUUUGUUGCUUUGGCAGACCCGGCUUCGGCCCACCGGCUCCGGCUGGUCAGUGUCUGCCAGAGGACCUAAAACUCUGUUUGUUAAUAUUGUCUGAGUACUAUAUAAUAGUUAAAACUUUCAACAACGGAUCUCUUGGUUCUGGCAUCGAUGAAGAACGCAGCGAAAUGCGAUAAGUAAUGUGAAUUGCAGAAUUCAGUGAAUCAUCGAAUCUUUGAACGCACCUUGCGCUCCUUGGUAUUCCGAGGAGCAUGCCUGUUUGAGUGUCGUCGAAUUCUCAGAACCUCCUGCUUCUUCAGGCAGCAGGGUCUGGAUCGGUGGAGGAUGCAUUGCUGGGCUAACCCUUUGCUUCUCUGAAAUGGAUCGGCGGUCUGGCUUCGUUGUCGGUAUGAUACACAUACAUGUCUUACCUGCUUCUAACCUGUGCCAGCCUUGAACACAAACGGCACUCUCACGGAUUUGGACCCUCCAAAUCAGGGCAGGGGGACUACCCGGCUGGAACUUAAGGCAUAUCAAUAAGGCGGGGA
rnacentral:rRNA from 1 species